GUAAAAUCCAGCAGAGAACAUGUUCCUCUAGUGAGGUAGCAUAUAAAACUUUGAAAGGAUGCUUUUUAGAAUUUUUUGUUCUUUACAGAAGAUCAACUUGGGGGUAGGAGCAACAAUUUUAAUUUUCUUCAUGACCAUUAUGGUUUUUCUUUAUUAUUGGAGGAAAGAGAUGAUGACCUCUUCCUUAAUUUCUGAAGGAAAAUAAGAGAAAAAUAAUAAUUGUGGCUUUUACUUUUUUUUUUUAAGAAUUGACAUAGUUGCUUUAUAAAUCUCAUCUAAUUUUUUCUACACACAAUCCAUGUUCUCAAUUUACAGAUGAGUAAAGUAAUUCACCAAGGUCAUGGUAAAAUGCAGAGAACUAAGAUUUGAAACCAACUCUUUUUUUUUUUUUAAUCAUUUAAAGGCCUUUGCUGUUUCCGUUGUGUCUGAGUGACUUUGACUUUCCAUUGUAUACCUGGGCUUUUUGAAUGUCAUCUAACUAAAAAGCUCAAGAAUUUAUUUCUUUAUCUAUAGGAAGGGAGAGUAGUUGUGCAUAAAAAGAGUUAUCACCAUGAAUAUGCUUCACUGGUGAGGAUACAAAAGAGGAAGCUUCAGUGAUCUUAUUAUGAUUUUGUGUAGAAAAAAAUUGAAAAAGAUAGAAUUUUGAUAUGCAAAUAGAAAGGAGGGCACUGCAGGAAGAAGGAAGAAAUCUUCAAGGUGAAUAUACCUAUUCCUGUAGGAUAUAAAAUCCAUGAAGGAGAAUAGAGUGUCAUAAGACCAGAGAAGUAAGUUUGGAUCAACUUAGGAUCAACUUGAAUGGUAGGCAAAAUACUAGGAACUUGAUGAGUAUUUUUCAAACUGCACAUCAUGAGAUCAGAUGUGUAGGGGAAUUAAAGCAAAGAAUGCAAAAGAAAUAGAAAAUAUCAGAAUUGGAAGGUGUAGUUAGGGUAAAUAUUGUUUCAUGAAAUACAGUAUCAGGUGCAUGUGUAAGGCUUCAAUAUAAACAUGUAUUUAUGGUUUUCACUAGUGGUCCAGUAGGUAGGACUCCAUGCUUCCAAUGUAGGGGGUGCAGGUUCAGUGUUUGGUUGGGGAACUAAGAGCCCACAUGCUGCGUGGCCAAAAAACAAAAAAUAUAAAGGUCUAUCCACUUAAAUAUUUGUUACUUUGGAAGUAAUGGUUAAAGACGCUUUAAAGCCA
ensembl:lncRNA